rnacentral:tRNA from 1 species
AGCUUUAUAGUCAAUUAAUUUAUGAUAUUAGACUGCAAUUCUAAAGUAGAGAUAUCUCUAAAGCUU